GAUGAACGCUGGCGGCGUGCCUAAUACAUGCCAGUCGAGCGAACAGACGAGGAGCUUGCUCCUCUGACGUUAGCGGCGGACGGGUGAGUAACACGUGGAUAACCUACCUAUAAGACUGGGAUAACUUCGGGAAACCGGAGCUAAUACCGGAUAAUAUAUUGAACCGCAUGGUUCAAUAGUUAAAGACGGUUUUGCUGUCACUUAUAGAUUGAUCCGCGCCGCAUUAGCUAGUUGGUAAGGUAACGGCUUACCAAGGCGACGAUGCGUAGCCGACCUGAGAGGGUGAUCGGCCACACUGGAACUGAGACACGGUCCAGACUCCUACGGGAGGCAGCAGUAGGGAAUCUUCCGCAAUGGGCGAAAGCCUGACGGAGCAACGCCGCGUGAGUGAUGAAGGUCUUCGGAUCGUAAAACUCUGUUAUUAGGGAAGAACAAAUGUGUAAGUAACUAUGCACGUCUUGACGGUACCUAAUCAGAAAGCCACGGCUAACUACGUG
rnacentral:rRNA from 1 species